CGUUCCAUUGUCAUUAUUCGGUCUCACCGAAGUUCAAAAGUGAACUUGCCCAGGACUGAAACCCACUGGCAAGUCACUCACAUUGUAAGACAAUCUAAAGGAAACCCUCAAGCAAAGGAAAAGGAAACAAGGUGGAAACCUGCAUCUGCAACAGGAAAUGCGGAGCGCCGAGACGACAAAGAAACUGAGGAUGCAGAAAGCUAGAUGAUCGGAAAGGCCAAGAGCUAUUGCAAGCACAGAGUCUUCUACAGACAUUGUCCCAUUAGCCAACAGUAAGAAAAGGAUGGUGGAUUUUAGAGGCGCUGGACCUCAUGGUGUCUGUGCAGAAAGUGAACUGAUU